GGUGGUUCUUGGGUGAUGUAUCCUGGAAUCGGGCUCCCUCUUCUCUGGUUCAGGGUGCAUCACCCAAGAACUGCA
rfam:Myotis lucifugus cont2.38621, whole genome shotgun sequence.